CUACAGGCUUAACACAUGCAAGUCGCAGGGUAACAUGAGGAAAGCUUGCUUUCCUUGAUGACGACUGGCGCACGGGUGAGUAACGCGUAUCCAACCUUCCCAUAACUACGGGAUAACCCGUUGAAAGACGGCCUAAUACCGUAUGAUAUCGUUUGCUGACAUCAAAUAACGAUUAAAGGUUUAGCGGUUAUGGAUGGGGAUGCGUCUGAUUAGCUUGUUGGCGGGGUAACGGCCCACCAAGGCUACGAUCAGUAGGGGUUCUGAGAGGAAGGUCCCCCACAUUGGAACUGAGACACGGCCCAAACUCCUACGGGAGGCAGCAGUGAGGAAUAUUGGUCAAUGGGCGAGAGCCUGAACCAGCCAAGUAGCGUGAAGGAUGACGG
rnacentral:rRNA from 1 species